AGAGUUUGAUCAUGGCUCAGAUUGAACGCUGGCGGUAUGCUUAACACAUGCAAGUCGAACGGUAACAGGCCUUCGGGCGCUGACGAGUGGCGGACGGGUGAGUAACGCGUAGGAAUCUGCCUUAUAGUGGGGGACAACGUGGGGAAACCCACGCUAAUACCGCAUACGCCCUACGGGGGAAAGCGGGGGAUCGUAAGACCUCGCGCUAUGAGAUGAGCCUGCGUUAGAUUAGCUAGUCGGUAGGGUAAAGGCCUACCAAUGCGACGAUCUAUAGCUGGUCUGAGAGGACGAUCAGCCACACUGGGACUGAGACACGGCCCAGACUCCUACGGGAGGCAGCAGUGGGGAAUAUUGGACAAUGGGCGCAAGCCUGAUCCAGCAAUACCGCGUGUGGAAGAAGGCCCUAGGGUUGUAAAGCACUUUCAAUGGGGAGGAAAACCUGCCGGUCAAUACCCGGUAGCUUGACAUUACCUAUAGAAGAAGCACCGGCUAACUCCGUGCCAGCAGCCGCGGUAAUACGGAGGGUGCGAGCGUUAAUCGGAAUUACUGGGCGUAAAGCGUGCGUAGGCGGUUCGUUAAGUCAGAUGUGAAAGCCCUGGGCUCAACCUGGGAACUGCAUUUGAAACUGGCGGACUUGAGUUGAGUAGAGGGGAGUGGAAUUUCAGGUGUAGCGGUGAAAUGCGUAGAUAUCUGAAGGAACACCAGUGGCGAAGGCGACUCCCUGGACUCAAACUGACGCUGAGUUACGAAAGCGUGGGUAGCAAACAGGAUUAGAUACCCUGGUAGUCCACGCUGUAAACGAUGUCAACUAGCCGUUGGUCCUAUAUACAGGAUUAGUGGCGCAGCUAACGCAUUAAGUUGACCGCCUGGGGAGUACGGCCGCAAGGUUAAAACUCAAAUGAAUUGACGGGGGCCCGCACAAGCGGUGGAGCAUGUGGUUUAAUUCGAUCAACGCGAAAAACCUUACCUGGGCUCGAACGACUGGAGGUAGUUCUUAUGAAGGUUUGAACGACCCGUAAAAUCGGGAACCAGCCGAGGUGCUGCAUGGUUGUCGUCAGCUCGUGUCGUGAGAUGUUGGGUUAAGUCCCGCAACGAGCGCAACCCCCAUCCCAUGUUGCUAAGUCCGCAAGGACUGCACUCUUGGGAAACUGCCCACGAUGAGUGGGAGGAAGGUGGGGACGACGUCAAAUCCUCAUGGCCCUUAUGUCCAGGGCUACACACGUACUACAAUGGCCGGCACAAUGGGUUGCAAUACCGCAAGGUGGAGCCAAUCCCCAAACCCGGCCCCAGUUCAGAUUGUGGGCUGAAAUUCGUCCACAUGAAGGUGGAAUCGCUAGUAAUCGCGAAUCAGAAGGUCGCGGUGAAUACGUUCCCGGGUCUUGUACACACCGCCCGUCACACCACGAAAGCCCGCUGCAACAGAAGUGCCCCCGCU
rnacentral:rRNA from 1 species